GUGCUUGCUUUGGCAGCACAUGUCCUGAAGUUGGAAUGAUACUGAGAUCAGCACGGCUCUUGGGCAAGGAUGGCAUGCAGAUUCUCGAAGUGUUCCAUAUUUUU